UACCCAACAGGCAGGUUCUGCUUUGCUAGGCUUCCAGCUGGAGCUCCAGAGUGACUGGUUUCCCACAGCUGCUGUCCAGUUUGAACUGGGCUGUGCUUUGACUGUGGGUUCUUCACUGGCGUGGGUACAAGAAGUACCUGCUGAAUCCAGGGGCUGACACAGGCACUGCUCCUUGGAAGCAGGAUGUACACGCUGUUUUGAGAAUGGAAGCCGUUCUCCAGCACCAGGAGAUGAGACCACAGUUAAAGAAGCCCAACAGUGGACAAAACAGACCUCAAACACACACAGGAAGACCGAGGACUUGUAGGGAGGCAGAAGUCAGGAAAUAGUGGAAACCAUCCCUGUUCCUCUCCACCCUGCUCCCACAACACGUUCCCACAUUGACCCUUUGACAAUGAGAAAGUAUUCAAGAGAAUCCUACCAUCUUCCUAGACGACAAAACUGGAGCUGCUUCAGAGCUAUCUGUCAGCCUCUGCAGACUGGCACUCCUAGCUAAUCCCCAGGGCUCCCGGGGCCAGGGUGUCGGAGAAGGAGAGUGGUUGUUUGGCACCUGUUAUUGGGCAAGGAAUGAGAGAAUGAAUUGCUCGACUGGAGGAAGCACAGGGUGUUAGGAGAGCAAAUAGAGGGCAUGCUCCUCCCAGGCAUAAAACCAAAGAAGAUUGUCCAGAGGAUGCCUAAGCUGAGUUCAGAGGAUGGCCGAAAGUAAGAAUCAUCAACCAACCACUUCAGGUUUCUGGUUCCACAAGUAAGGUGCUUGGAAAUUGCCACUUGCUCCACUAUAACAAGUAAAAAGCUGAACAAACUGAAGAAGUGACAACUCUUAGAUUCAUAAGAGAUGUGAAGUCACAGGCCAUACUGCUGCGUCCAAAAUUAGAGAGACAGAAAGGUGAAUACAGAGAAUUCCAACUUAUCAGAGCAGAAUCUUGUGAGCAGAAACUCCUCUGUACUUAAAGGAUGCUCGAUGGGAACCAGGGCUGGGGUAGGAAAACCGGAGCUGUGAUUGACAGUUACUGGAUGCCCAGUGUGGACAAGUAUAUGCAAGAUAAGAGCUCCAGGGGAACCCAAUGUUACGGGGCCCAUACUCUUGUGAGAAUACUUCUAAAUUCAUUCUGUGAGGCCAGCAUUACCCUAAUAUCAAAACCAGACAAAUACAUUACAAGAAAGAAAACUGCAGACUGAUAUCUCUCAUGAGCAUAGACACAAAACUCCUCAACAAAAUACUAGUGAAUUGAACCCAAUAAUGUAUAAAAAGAAUUAUGUAUCACGACCAAGUGGGAUUUAUCGCAGGUAUGCAAUUCUGGUUCAACAUUUGAAAAUCAAGUAAUGUAAUCUAUCACGUCAACAGACUAAAGAAGAAAAUCUCAAGAUGAAAUCAAUAGAUGCAGAAAAACUAGUUGACAAAUCCAAUACCUACUCAUGAUAAAACUCACAGUGAACUAGGAAUGGAAGGGAACUUUCUCAGUCUGAUCAAGGAUAACAAUCUACAGCUAACAUCAUACUUAAUGGAGAAACUGGAAGCCUUCUCUUUAAGAUCAUGUACAAAGCAAGAAUGUUCCUUCUUACCAAUUAUUUUCAACUUAGUAUUGGAAGUCCUAGGUAAUGCAAUAAGAUGAGAAAAGGAAAUAAAAGGUAUACUGAUUGGGAAGGAAGAAAUAAAACUGUAUGCAAAUGACAUGAUCAUCUAUGUAGAAAAUCUGAAAGAACUGAUUAAAAAAACAAAAACACCUCCUGGUAAUAAUAAGAAAUUAGAACAAGGUUAAAAGACAUAGGUUACUAUACAAAAGUCAAUUGCUUUCCUAUAUACCAGCAAUAAACAAGCAGAAUUUGAAACUGAAAACACAGUACUACUUACAUUAGCAUCCCCCCAAAUGAAAAACUUAGGUAUAAAUCUAACAAUGUAUGUAUAAGAUUGAUGUAUAAGUUCUUCUAUAUAAUCUCUGAAGGGGUUACAUAACCAGGAAAAUACAUAAAAAACAUAAAUGAGUAUGCACUGAGACAUAGAACUUCAAAUACAGGAAGCAAAAGUUGACUGAAUGAAAGAGGUAGGUAAACAAUUCCACAAUCAUUGUUAGAGAUUUUAAUACCUCUUAUAUCAGCAAUUAAUCAUAGAAGAACUAGACAAAAAUCAGAAAUAACUUAUUUGUUAUUGAUAGAACAUUAAACUCAAAAAUAGUAGAAUAUAAAUUCAACUGCAAAUAAUACAUUUACCAGGAUAGUCUAUAUUCUAGAUAACAAAAUAAAUCUCAAUAAUAUUCAAAGGAUUGAAAUCAUACCAAGUGUAUUGUGUGGCCACAAUGGAAUUCAUUACAAAUUGAUAAAAAUAAAAUAACUAAGAGAAAGCCCAAGUGCUUGAAAAUUAAACAUUAAAUUUCUAAAUAACUAUUAAGUUUUAAAAACCAGGAUAAAUUAGAGAAUGUUCUAAACUGAAUGAAAACAAGUAUACAAACCAUUAACACUUGUGAGAUUCUGCUGAAGCAGUACUUAGAGGGAAAUGCAUAGCUUUAAAUGUCUAUAAUAGAAAAGGAGAAAGGUUUCAAAUCAAUGAUCAGAGCUAUAAGCUUAGAAACUAGAAAAAGAAGAACAAAUUUAAUCCAGAUAAAGACAAGAAAUAAUAAAAAUUAAAGCAGAAAUCAAUAAAAGAGAAAACAGAACUAUAGAAAGAAUUGAUAAAACCAAACCUGACUCUGUAAAAAGAUUUUUUUUAAUUGAUAAAUUUCUAGCCAGACUGAUGAAGAAAGCAGAGACAUAAAUUCUCAAUUUCAGGAAUGAAACACAAGACAUAACUACAGAUCCUCCAGACAUUAAAGAAAUAAUAAGAAAAUACUAUAAACAAUUCUAUGCCAAUAAAUUUGACAUCCUAGAUGAAAUGGACAAAAUUCUUGGAAUACACAAAUUACCAAAACUGACCAAAGAAGAAAUAGAAAACUUAAGCAGCCUUAUAUUAAUUAAAGAAAUUGAAUUCAUGAAUAAAAAAAGGUCUCACAAAGAAAACCCUAGGUCUGGAUUGAUUCACUGAUGAAUUUUUUUAAACACUUAAGGGAGUGAUAAUAUCAAUCCUACACAAACCCUUUAAGAAAAUCGAGGAUGGAAUACUCUCCAAGUAAUUUUAUAAAGCCAGCAUUGCCUAGAUUCCAAAACCAGACAAAGAGCUCACAAGAAAACUUCAGAGCAGUAUUUCUCAUGAACAUAGACAUGAAAAUCCUCAAAAACAUUACCAAAUUCAAUCCAACAAGCUGUAUUUAUCCUGGGAAUGCAAGAUUGCUUUAACAUCUAAAAAUGGUUCCAUGAAAUUGAAACUAUUAAUAGAAUAACGGAGAAAAACCAUAUGACCAUUUCAAUAAAGGCAGAAAAAGCAUGUGACAUAUUUCAACACCCUUUCAUAAGAAAUCUAGUAGGAAACUAAGAAUAGAAGGGAACUUUCUCAAUUUGAUCAAGGCUAUCUGACUAAAAACGUGUAUGAAAAAACCUACAGCUAAUGUCAGUGCUUCUGCCUAAGAUCAGGAGCAAGGCCAGGACAUCGGCAUUCACCACUUCUACUUAACAUUGUAUUGGAUGUACUUGGCAGUAAUAAUUAGACCAAAAAAGAUAUAAAAGGUAUAUAUAUAUAUAUAUAUAUAUAUAUAUGUAUGUAUAUAUACAUGUAUAUUGGAAAAGAAGUAGUAAAAUUCUGGUGGGAAUGCCAAAUGGGACAGCCACUUUGGAAAAAAGUGCGGUGGCCUCUUGUUAGUUAACCAGAUUUACCGUAUGACCUUGUAAUUCCACUGCUAGAUAUUUAUUCAAAAGAAAUGACAAUGUAUUCCACACAAAGAUGUGCAUAUGAAUAUUCACAGCCACAUUAUUCAUUUCAUCUAGGAUGUCAAACAGUGGAAGCAACUCAAAUGUCUGUCAGUUAGUGAGUGGAUAAAUAAUUAUGGUAUACCCAUAUUAUAGGCUACCACUUAGCAAUAGAAAAGAAAAAAAAUUAAUGCAUGCAACUAAAUUGGUUGAAUUUCAAGGACAUUAGGUUGAGUGAAAGAAGUCAAACUGCAAACUGUAUGAUAUUACUAUCAUGAGAGAAAAUAGAUCAGUGGUUGAGGGUGGGGUGAAGGGAAGAACUAUAAAGGGGGCACAGGAAUCUUUGUUUUAAAGUUUUUUGGGGGGGGAGGUAAUUAGGUUUAUUUAUUUAAUUUUUUUUUUUAAAUGGAGGUACUGGGGAUUGAACCCAGGACCUCAGGCAUGCUAAGCAUGUGCUUUACCACUUAAACUAUACCCUCCCCACUAGCGAAUCUUUCAAAGUGAGAGAACUAUUGUAUAUCUUAUAGUGGUGAUGGUUCCAUGGUUUCGUACCAUUAUCAAAGCUUAUCAAACCGCACACUUAAAGUGGAUGAAUGUUUUGAUAUGUAAUACCUUAACUUAGAAAAAAAGAAACUUUUUAAGUGAUUGAGCAAGAUCUUGGCUACAACAAACCUGGUUUGACUCACUAGCUGUGGGCAGUGGGAAAUUUAUUUAUCCUCUUAGAGCUCAGUUUCCACUUUUAUAAAAUGGAAAUAAGUGAUCUAUUUUACAGUUAUUCCAGUGAAUAAACGGGGUGAGGAAUGUACCUGCCACCAGGUAGAUGCUCAAUACACAUCAGCCAUGGAAAUAGUGGGAACCCAGCUGGAGAGGUAGAAAGCAUGUCUCAGACUGAGCAAGCAGCAGGUGCAGCGGCAUAGAGGUGAGUGAGUGGGGACAGCAGGUUGUUCAGUCUGGCGGGGGGAGUGGAGAGAGUGGGGAACUUGGGAAACGAGGAUAAACAGCAGCCAGGAGGCAGCCUUCCAUGGCCUCUGUCUACCACAUUAAUGAGUUAGGAUUCUGUUCGGGAGGAGAGUUAGUCAAGUGGUGGUAGAUGUAGUGCUUAAUUGAGUCUGGGAGCCACACUGGACUUGAAUCCUGGUUUUGUCACUUACUAGCUGUGAAAAUGUAGAAAGUGCCUUAAGUUCUCAGUAAUUUGCUCACCUGUAAAAAGGAAAUAAGAGCCAUGUCGACUUCCGUAGAUUGUUACGGGGAUUAAAUGAAUGAUGUGGUUUCCACAGUCCCGGGCACAUCAGAAGCACUCAACGUGAUUCAACUUAUUUUCUGGUGUGGAAAGUGGUUUGCAGACAUCUGGCGGCAGGGAGAUCUGGGAGAAAAUGUUUUCCUUAUCUAAGUGAAAAUGGAAGGUGAUCCGAGCUAGGAUUGUGAUCAUAAAGACAGAAGCAGAGACAAGCUGGAAACAUACCCAGGAGGUAGAAUUCACACAACUCUGGGACUGACUGGACAGUCAUGAGACGGGGAAGCAAUCAAGGAUGACCUCAGUGGGGUUUCUGGUCUGAUGGGCGUGCCCCUUGGGAGACAGAAGACCUCCAGUUCCCACGCCAACUCGUCCCUGAAGGAUAUUACUGUACUUGCUAUGAGCAAAACACCUUUCUCCUCCCUUCCUCCCUGGUACCCCAACAAAUGCAUAUUAUGUUGGAUGGUUGCUUGGUGGAGGUAAGAGGGUAUCAGUGAGUCUGGAAUGAGCAGUGGCAACUCUUGGAUAUUGAGAAAAGGAAAGACCACAUUUAAGAUAUAAAAUGAAAGGACUGACUUCAUCAUGAAAGGAAGUUUACAUCAUCUCACUGUAUCUCCUUUGUGUUCCCCUUUGUGAUGCCAAGAAAUACUGAAAAACAAGCUAGAUGAGAAAUACCCCUAGAAAAAGGGAAGGGAAUCUUACUAUAAAACAAAGUGAAACCUGCAAGUCUGCCCCUUGGAAAACAACAGAGAAGAUCUAGCUCCUUCUGGCCAAGUGUGGCUACGCAAAACAUCACAGCAGACGCAUGACACUCAAGUGUACUGUGGCCUCCUAUGCGGAAAAUGACUCAUGUAUUAUAUGAAUGUAUAAUAUAUAAUAUUAUAUAAUAGGUAUACUAUAUUAUGUUUGUUGCUUGCUUGGCUGAGUUUACUGAAAUAUUUACUUUCCUUCAUGUACUGAUUAUCUUGUAUCAGAAGGUUAGUUUUUAAAAAAUAUGUCCUUGAAAAUUGGCUUGUCACAAUCUGUUAAUAUACAUGAUUGUUUGGCUAAGUUUACUGAAAUAUUUACUUUUCCUUCAGGCACUGAUUACCUUAUCCCAGAAGGUUAGUUUUUUAAAAAAAAUGUCCUUGAAAAUUGGGUUGUCUUUUAAAAUCUGUAUAAUGUAUAUAUCAGAAAUAGAAUGUACUCUAGUGAGAUAGACAAUUUAACCCAUAAAAACAGACUGGGAGAAGAUUUUCAACAAAAUAAUAAUAAUAAUAAUAAAUAAUAA